UGCAAGUCGUGCGGACCUUUUAAAAGCUUGCUUUUAAAAGGUUAGCGGCGGACGGGUGAGUAACACGUGGGCAACCUGCCUGUAAGACUGGGAUAACGCCGGGAAACCGGGGCUAAUACCAGAUAGUUUUUUCCUCCGCAUGGAGGAAAAAGGAAAGGCGGCUUCGGCUGCCACUUACAGAUGGGCCCGCGGCGCAUUAGCUAGUUGGCGGGGUAAUGGCCCACCAAGGCAACGAUGCGUAGCCGACCUGAGAGGGUGAUCGGCCACAUUGGGACUGAGACACGGCCCAAACUCCUACGGGAGGCAGCAGUAGGGAAUCUUCCGCAAUGGACGAAAGUCUGACGGAGCAACGCCGCGUGAGUGAAGAAGGCCUUCGGGUCGUAAAACUCUGUUGCCGGGGAAGAACAAGUGCCGUUCGAACAGGGCGGCGCCUUGACGGUACCCGGCCAGAAAGCCACGGCUAACUAC
rnacentral:rRNA from 1 species